UUAUCGGGGUAUCAUUGGGAAUGUGGUCAACACCCUCCGGACAGAGAGGACUCAUCACAGCAUUACAGUGAUUGGAGGAGGCUGCACAUCUGGAGCACAGAAGAACAGUUAAUGGACAGUGGGGCAGAAGGUCAACGGUUCGAUCCCCCAUCAGGGCAGAAGGUCGAGCUUUUAUUCUGAAGGAGACAGGAUGACUGCAGUAAAUGAUGUUUAAUGAGGUACAACAACAACAAUAACAACAACAGCUCUCAGUCAGUAUGUUCUCUGUCUGUGUUACAUUAUAUAUAUAUUAAAUGUAGAUAAAAAGGUGUUGAUGUGUUUAGUUUGACAGCAGAGUCCCAGGAUGAAGAGGGCAUCGCUACUAAAGAAAGGUUUAAUAAAUACAAACGCAUUCAGUGAACACACAGUACAGGAUGAGAAACGUUAUCUUCCAUAAUAAUGGAAUAAUGGAAUGGCGCCGGCGACAACGGCAGCCUGUCAUGGCAGCUCCUUUCAUUGUUGUAGUUUCAGUGUGUUUUUACUAUUUUGAACUGUUUUCUUACUCUCUUACUUUGUUCACGUCGCCUAAAUACUUUUUUGGCGUUUUUGAGCACUUUUUAUUUUUUGUUUACGCUGGUCUCCAUGGCAACGGCGAGUCACAUUGUUUAUUGUCCUCCAUACCGGAGGAGCUGAGGAGGAGACGGUGAGGCUGCAGAGCGGGGGUUAAAGGGAGGAUGAAGAAGAGGAGCUUUAAACUCUACAUCCCUGCAAUCAUCGAGCAGAUACCGGACUCCAUCGUCACCAUUCCCCGGCUUCCAGACGGUUCGAGCCGACAGGGACACCACCGCGACCGGCAUGAAGAAAGGAGGGGGACUGUCCGUGCUCAUCAACAACAGGGUGACGGAGCCAGCAGCCAGUGUAGAGGACCAGAGGUGAAAGCUGUCAAUGUGUGCCAAUAAAGUGUCUCCAGGUCUCAAUCCAGGACUCCUGUCUCCAGUGCUUCUCUUCCCUCCCCGCGCAUACACCCUAUCACAACCAUAAACACAACGCAGAGUCCCUGGGUGUGUAGGGAGGCUGCAGCACAUCCUGUGGGUUACACUUACAAACAUUAGUUUUGAUUGAAGUUGAAGAAAUAUGUUCUCUCAUAUUUUGUUUUCAAUUGCAACCUGUUCUGUUUCCAUCUCAAAACAAUUUUUUUUGAUUGCCACUUACUCUUUUUUGGUUUCAAAUCUCUUUUUUGGUUUCAAAUAUAUUCUUUUUGAUUGAAUAAUAAAGGAACAGAAUUCUCUCCAUAGGGCAGAACGGUACUCCUACUGGCAGGUUCGAAUCCUGAUGGAAGCAUACUGUGAAAUGUGUGUAAAGUGUUGGAAUAUGUUCUAUAAAUAUUAAAAUGAUUAAAAUAUGCUUGUAACAGUUGUAUUGAGUCUAUAAAUUAUAAUGAAUUUGCAUAUUUCCAAGGCCAGGUAAUGCAAUAAAUGGAUUUUUCAUUUACA